CCUACGGGAGGCAGCAGUGGGGAAUAUUGGACAAUGGGCGAAAGCCUGAUCCAGCAAUGCCGCGUGAGUGAUGAAGGCCUUCGGGUCGUAAAGCUCUUUUACCAGGGAUGAUAAUGACAGUACCUGGAGAAUAAGCUCCGGCUAACUCCGUGCCAGCAGCCGCGGUAAUACGGAGGGAGCUAGCGUUGUUCGGAAUUACUGGGCGUAAAGAGUACGUAGGCGGUUAUUCAAGUCAGAGGUGAAAGCCCGGGGCUCAACCCCGGGAACUGCCUUUGAAACCUAGAUAACUAGAGUCUUGGAGAGGUUAGUGGAAUUCCGAGUGUAGAGGUGAAAUUCGUAGAUAUUCGGAAGAACACCAGUGGCGAAGGCGACUAACUGGACAAGUACUGACGCUGAGGUACGAAAGCGUGGGGAGCAAACAGGAUUAGAUACCCUGGUAGUCCACGCCGUAAACGAUGAUAACUAGUUGUUCGGUCACUUGGUGACUGAGUGACGCAGCUAACGCAUUAAGUUAUCCGCCUGGGGAGUACGGUCGCAGAUUAAACUCAAAGGAAUUGACGG
rnacentral:rRNA from 1 species